UGGGCAACCUGCCCUCAGCACUGGGAUAACCCCCGGGAAACCGGAGCUAAUACCGGAUACUCCGGCUGGAUCGCAUGGUCCGGCCGGGAAAGGUCCGCCGGAGAGGGAUGGGCCCGCGGCCUAUCAGCUUGUUGGUGGGGUGAUGGCCUACCAAGGCGACGACGGGUAGCCGGCGUGAGAGGGUGUCCGGCCACACUGGGACUGAGAUACGGCCCAGACUCCUACGGGAGGCA
rnacentral:rRNA from 1 species